rnacentral:rRNA from 1 species
UACGUAGGAUCCAAGCGUUGUCCGGAUUUACUGGGUGUAAAGGGUGCGCAGGCGGACUGAUAAGUUAGGGGUGAAAUCUCUCGGCUCAACCGAGAAACGGCCCUUGAUACUGUCGGUCUUGAAUUGGGGAGAGAGUUAUGGAAUUCCGAGUGUAGCAGUGAAAUGUGUAGAUAUUCGGAAGAACACCAGUGGCGAAGGCAGUAACUUGGCCCCACAUUGACGCUCAGGCACGAAAGCAUGGGGAUCAAACAGG